rnacentral:rRNA from 1 species
CGGUGGAGCAUGUGGUUAAUUCGAAGCAACGCGAAGAACCUUACCAGGUCUUGACAUCCCGAUGCUAUUCUAGAGAUAGAAGUUACUUCGGUACAUCGGUGACAGGUGGUGCAUGGUUGUCGUCAGCUCGUGUCGUGAGAUGUUGGGUUAAGUCCCGCAACGAGCGCAACCCCUAUUGUUAGUUGCCAUCAUUCAGUUGGGCACUCUAGCGAGACUGCCGGUAAUAAACCGGAGGAAGGUGGGGAUGACGUCAAAUCAUCAUGCCCCUUAUGACCUGGGCUACACACGUGCUACAAUGGUUGGUACAACGAGUUGCGAGUCGGUGACGGCGAGCUAAUCUCUUAAAGCCAAUCUCAGUUCGGAUUGUAGGCUGCAACUCGCCUACAUGAAGUCGGAAUCGCUAGUAAUCGCGGAUCAGCACGCCGCGGUGAAUACGUUCCCGGGCCUU